rnacentral:tRNA from 1 species
UCCCUCGUAGCUCAGUUGGUAAAGAAUCUGUCUGUGACGCAGGAGACUUGGGUUUGAUUCCUGGCUUGGGAA